rnacentral:rRNA from 1 species
UACAGAGGUGGCAGCGUUGUUCGGAAUUACUGGGCGUAAAGGGCGCGUAGGCGGCCUACUAAGUCAGACGUGAAAUCCCCCGGCUUAACCUGGGAACUGCGUCUGAUACUGGAAGGCUUGAGGAUGGGAGAGGGAUGUAGAAUUCCAGGUGUAGCGGUGAAAUGCGUAGAUAUCUGGAGGAACACCGGUGGCGAAGGCGGCAUCCUGGACCGAUACUGACGCUG